AGAAACUUAGGAUAAAUUAGACCAAGAGCCUUCAAAGCCCUAAGCAGAAGUUAAAAUCUUCUAGUUUCUG
rnacentral:tRNA from 2 species